UACAGAGGGUGCAAGCGUUGUUCGGAAUUACUGGGCGUAAAGCGUGCGUAGUCGGUAUUGAGAGUCGCGGGUGAAAUCCCAGGGCUUAACCCUGGAACUGCCUGCGAGACCUCAGUACUAGAGUGUGAGAGGGGAUAGUGGAAUACCCAGUGUAGCGGUGAAAUGCGUAGAGAUUGGGUGGAACACCGGUGGCGAAGGCGGCUAUCUGGCUCACAACUGACGAUCAGGCACGGAAAGCGAUGGGGAACAAACAGGACUUAGAUACCC
rnacentral:rRNA from 1 species